CCUACGGGGGGCAGCAGUGGGGAAUAUUGCACAAUGGGGGAAACCCUGAUGCAGCGACGCCGCGUGAGUGAAGAAGUAUUUCUGUAUGUAAAGCUCUAUCAGCAGGGAAGCAAUAAAGUCCUUUUGACUUUGGACGGUACCUGACUAAGAAGCCCCGACUAACUACGUGCCAGCAGCCGCGGUAAUACGUAGGGGGCAAGCGUUAUCCGGAUUUACUGGGUGUAAAGGAAGCGUAGACGGCAGUGCAAGUCUGGAGUGAAAUCCCAUGGCUGAACCAUGGAACUGCUGUUGAAACUGGUCAGCUAGAGUGCAGGAGAGGUAAGCGGAAUGCGUAGUGUAGCGGUGAAAUGCGUAGAUAUUAGGAGGAACACCAGUGGCGAAGGCGGCUUACUGGACUGUAACUGACGUUGAGGCACGAAAGCGUGGGGAGCGAACAGGAUUAGAUACCCGAGUAGUC
rnacentral:rRNA from 1 species